rnacentral:rRNA from 1 species
UAAAGAAAGCGUAAUAGCUCACUGGUCGAGUCGGCCUGCGCGGAAGAUGUAACGGGGCUAAACCAUGCACCGAAGCUGCGGCAGCGACGCUGUGCGUUGUUGGGUAGGGGAGCGUUCUGUAAGCCUGUGAAGGUGUGUCGUGAGGCAUGCUGGAGGUAUCAGAAGUGCGAAUGCUGACAUAAGUAACGAUAAAGCGGGUGAAAAGCCCGCUCGCCGGAAGACCAAGGGUUCCUGUCCAACGUUAAUCGGGGCAGG